AACGAACGCUGGCGGCAUGCCUAACACAUGCAAGUCGAACGAACCCUUCGGGGUUAGUGGCGCACGGGUGCGUAACGCGUGGGAAUCUGCCCUUUGCUUCGGAAUAACUCAGGGAAACUUGUGCUAAUACCGGAUGAUGUCUUCGGACCAAAGAUUUAUCGGCAAAGGAUGAGCCCGCGUAGGAUUAGGUAGUUGGUGGGGUAAAGGCCUACCAAGCCGACGAUCCUUAGCUGGUCUGAGAGGAUGAUCAGCCACACUGGGACUGAGACACGGCCCAGACUCCUACGGGAGGCAGCAGUGGGGAAUAUUGGACAAUGGGCGAAAGCCUGAUCCAGCAAUGCCGCGUGAGUGAUGAAGGCCUUAGGGUCGUAAAGCUCUUUUACCAGGGAUGAUAAUGACAGUACCUGGAGAAUAAGCUCCGGCUAACUCCGUGCCAGCAGCCGCCGCGGUAA
rnacentral:rRNA from 1 species